GGCUUACACACACAUGUUUUAAUAAGUACAUUGAGAAAAGGUACAAGGAGUCUGAACUAAAUAUGGGUGAAAAUAGUUGCAUCGAUCGCUGCAUAUCAAAAUAUUGGCAUGUGACUAAUCUAAUCGGCCAGCUGCUAGGUUCAGGUCGGCA